GACGAACGCUGGCGGCAUGCCUAAUACAUGCAAGUCGAGCGAACAGAUGAAGUGCUUGCACUUCUGACGUCAGCGGCGAACGGGUGAGUAGCACGUAAGGAAUCUACCUAUAAGCGGGGGAUAACAUUCGGAAACGGGUGCUAAUACCGCAUAAUAUUUUCUUCCGCAUGGAAGAAAAUUGAAAGACGGCUCUGCUGUCACUUAUAGAUGACCUUGCGGUGCAUUAGUUAGUUGGUGGGGUAACGGCCUACCAAGACGAUGAUGCAUAGCCGACCUGAGAGGGUGAUCGGCCACAUUGGGACUGAGACACGGCCCAAACUCCUACGGGAGGCAGCAGUAGGGAAUCUUCCGCAAUGGGCGAAAGCCUGACGGAGCAAUGCCGCGUGAGUGAAGAAGGCCUUCGGGUCGUAAAACUCUGUUAUAAGAGAAGAGCAAAUUGUAGAGUAACUGCUACAGUCUUGACGGUAUCUUAUCAGAAAGCCACGGCUAACUACGUGCCAGCCGCCGCAGUAA
rnacentral:rRNA from 1 species